rnacentral:rRNA from 1 species
CUUGAAAUACCACCCUUUAAUGUUUGAUGUUCUAACGUGGACCCGUGAGUCCGGGUUGCGGACAGUGUCUGGUGGGUAGUUUGACUGGGGCGGUCUCCUCCUAAAGAGUAACGGAGGAGCACGAAGGUUGGCUAAUCCUGGUCGGACAUCAGGAGGUUAGUGCAAUGGCAUAAGCCAGCUUGACUGCGAGCGUGACGGCGCGAGCAGGUGCGAAAGCAGGUCAUAGUGAUCCGGUGGUUCUGAAUGGAAGGACCAUCGCUCAACGGAUAAAAGGUACUCCGGGGAUAACAGGCUGAUACCGCCCAAGAGUUCAUAUCGACGGCGGUGUUUGGCUCGAUGUCGGCUCAUCACAUCCUGGGGCUGAAGUAGGUCCCAAGGGUAUGGCUGUUCGCCAUUUAAAGUGGUACGCGAGCUGGGUUUAGAACGUCGUGAGACAGUUCGGUCCCUAUCUGCCGUGGGCGCUGGAGAACUGAGGGGGGCUGCUCCUAGUACGAGAGGACCGGAGUGGACGCAUCACUGGUGUUCGGGUUGUCAUGCCAAUGGCACUGCCCGGUAGCUAAAUGCGGAAGAGAUAAGUGCUGAAAGCAUCUAAGCACGAAACUUGCCCCGAGAUGAGUUCUCCCUGACCCUUUAAGGUCUGAAGGAACGUUGAAGACGACGACGUUGAUAGGCCGGGUGUGUAAGCGCAGCGAUGCGUUGAGCUAACCGGUACUAAUGAACCGUGAGGCUUAACCUU